rnacentral:rRNA from 1 species
CCCCUUAGAUGUUCUGGGCCGCACGCGCGCUACACUGACGAAUGCAACGAGCUUAUAACCUUGGCCGAAAGGUCUGGGUAAUCUCCAAAUUUCGUCGUGAUGGGGAUAGAUUAUUGCAAUUAUUAAUCUUCAACGAGGAAUGCCUAGUAAGCGCAAGUCAUCAGCUUGCGUUGAUUACGUCCCUGCCCUUUGUACACACCGCCCGUCGCUCCUACCGAUUGAAUGGUCCGGUGAAGCGUUCGGACCGUGGCCUUUGGACGGUUCGCCGUCUGUUGGCUGCGGGAAGUUCGUUAAACCUUAUCAUUUAGAGGAAGGAGAAGUCGUAACA